rnacentral:rRNA from 1 species
UGCUAACGUCCGUCGUGGAGAGGGAAACAACCCAGACCGCCAGCUAAGGUCCCAAAUUACUACUAAGUGGGAAACGAUGUGGGAAGGCUCAGACAGCCAGGAUGUUGGCUUAGAAGCAGCCAUCAUUAAAGAAAGCGUAAUAGCUCACUGGUCGAGUCGGCCUGCGCGGAAGAUGUAACGGGGCUAAGUAGUAAACCGAAGCUGCGGCAAUA